rnacentral:rRNA from 1 species
AGCGAACGCUGGCGGCAGGCUUAACACAUGCAAGUCGAACGGUCCUUCGGGAUAGUGGCGGACGGGUGAGUAACGCGUGGGAACGUACCCUUAGGUUCGGAACAACACAGGGAAACUUGUGCUAAUACCGGAUGAGCCCUUCGGGGGAAAGAUUUAUCGCCUUUGGAGCGGCCCGCGUCUGAUUAGCUUGUUGGUGAGGUAAUGGCUCACCAAGGCUACGAUCAGUAGCUGGUCUGAGAGGAUGGCCAGCCACACUGGGACUGAGACACGGCCCCGACUCCUACGGGAGGCAGCAGUGGGGAAUCUUGCGCAAUGGGCGAAAGCCUGACGCAGCCAUGCCGCGUGGAUGAUGAAGGUCUUAGGAUUGUAAAAUCCUUUCACCGGGGACGAUAAUGACGGUACCCGGAGAAGAAGCCCCGGCUAACUUCGUGCCAGCCGCCGCAGUAA